AACCUGCAGCUCCCAGGGGCAGAGUUCAGGAAUGGAGUGGCAAGGCCAAGGAUCUUCAACAAGCAGCGUGGGACAGGGAGAACAGAGGAUGGAGGUUUGGGACAUGGGUGAAGGGGCACUGCCUUGUCCCUCUCCUGCUGCUCAGGAUGGAAGCUCUUUCUAGAUUGCCAUCUUCAUUCCUGAAGGCGAAGGUGGCUGGCCAUGGGGAAGCAAUUGGCCCCUCUCUACUCCCCCUGCUGUGUGGUCCUGAUACAGCCAUCUACACAUCUGAGCUUCAGUUUCCGUAUUCACUCAACAAAGUGUCACUAUGUAGCUCACACUGGCUGCAAACUCACAGGCGCCCUGCUCAGGAUUACAGCAUGCCACUACACCCUGCCUACCUUUGAAUCCGGCUCUGCCUGGCGAGGAACUCAAUCUGGCUGAGGAGGCCUUCCAAAGGGAGGGAUCAGCAUGUACAGAGAAGAGCCUGAACCCAAGAGAUGAGGAAGUGGCCAAGGAGCUGGGGUAACACGAGGCUACAGGGAAAACAGGCCUGAUGACACGUCCCUUGUCAGCCACAGGCGAUGGCGGAUUUUGUCCUGAGUACAAGAAGCAGCCACUGGAAGGCUUAAAGUAGCAGGAUGUGGUGCUG